GCCCUAUACCCGUUAAGGCAUGAUGGCCUGUACCCGAAACCGACACAGGUGGGGUGGUAGAGAAUACCGAGGGGCGCGAGAUAACUCUCUCUAAGGAACUCGGCAAAAUGGCCCCGUAACUUCGGGAGAAGGGGUGCCACCGCAAGGUGGUCGCAGUGAAGAGGCCCAGGCGACUGUUUACCAAAAACACAGGUCUCCGCUAAGUCGCAAGACGAUGUAUGGGGGCUGACGCCUGCCCAGUGCCGGAAGGUUAAGGAAGCUGGUCAGCGUAAGCGAAGCUAGCGACUGAAGCCCCGGUGAACGGCGGCCGUAACAAUAACGGUCCUAAGGUAGCGAAAUUCCUUGUCGGGUAAGUUCCGACCCGCACGAAAGGCGUAACGAUCUGGGCGCUGUCUCGGAGAGAGGCUCGGCGAAAUAGAAUUGUCUGUGAAGAUGCGGACUACGUGCACCCGGACAGAAAGACCCUAUGAAGCUUUACUGUAGCUUGGUAUUGUGCUCGGGCUCGGAAUGCGCAGGAUAGGUGGGAGGCUAUGAACCAUUGCUUGUGGGUGAUGGUGAGCCACUGGUGAGAUACCACUCUUUCCGAGCUAGAGUUCUAACAGCCACCCGUUAUCCGGGGGCUGGACAGUAUCAGGUGGGCAGUUUGACUGGGGCGGUCGCCUCCUAAAAGGUAACGGAGGCGCGCAAAGGUUUGCUCAGGCUGGUUGGAAAUCAGCCGACGAGUGUAAAAGCAGAAGCAAGCUUGACUGUGAGACCUACAAGUCGAACAGGGAGGAAACUCGGCUUUAGUGAUCCGACGGUUCUGCGUGGAAGGGCCGUCGCUCAACGGAUAAAAGUUACUCUAGGAUAACAGGCUGAUCUCCCCCAAGAGUUCACAUCGACGGGGAGGUUUGGCACCUCGAUGUCGGCUCAUCGCAACCUGGGGCUGAAGUCGGUCCCAAGGGUUGGGCUGUUCGCCCAUUAAAGCGGUACGCGAGCUGGGUUCAGAACGUCGUGAGACAGUUCGGUCCAUAUCCGGUGCAUGCGCAGGAAUAUUGAGAGGAUUUCUCCCUAGUACGAGAGGACCGGGAGGAACGCACCUCUGGUGUACCAGUUAUCGUGCCAACGGUAAACGCUGGGUAGCCAUGUGCGGAGAGGAUAACCGCUGAAAGCAUCUAAGUGGGAAGCCCACCUCAAGAUGAGUAUUCCCAUGGGGUAACCCAGUAAGGUCACGGGAAGAACACCCGUUGAUAGGCUCUACGUGGAAGCGCAGUAAUGUGUGAAGCGGAGGAGUACUAAUAGACCGAGGGCUUGAC
rnacentral:rRNA from 1 species